GACGAACGCUGGCGGCGUGCUUAACACAUGCAAGUCGAGCGGUGAAGCGCCUUCCUUUUUGGUGGGUGUGGAUGAGUGGCGAACGGGUGAGUAACACGUGAGUAACCUGCCCCCUUCUUCUGGAUAACCGCAUGAAAGUGUGGCUAAUACGGGAUAUUCUGGGUCUGUCGCAUGAUGGGUCUGGGAAAGAUAUUGUUUCGGUGGGGGAUGGGCUCGCGGCCUAUCAGCUUGUUGGUGGGGUGAUGGCCUACCAAGGCGGUGACGGGUAGCCGGCCUGAGAGGGUGGACGGUCACACUGGGACUGAGACACGGCCCAGACUCCUACGGGAGGCAGCAGUGGGGAAUAUUGCACAAUGGGCGCAAGCCUGAUGCAGCGACGCCGCGUGAGGGAUGGAGGCCUGCGGGUUGUGAACCUCUUUCGCCAGUGAAGCAGGCCUGCCUCGUUUGUGGGUGGGUUGACGGUAGCUGGAUAAGAAGCGCCGGCUAACUACGUG
rnacentral:rRNA from 1 species